rnacentral:rRNA from 1 species
GAUGAACGCUGGCGGCGUGCCUAAUACAUGCAAGUCGAGCGAACAGACGAGGAGCUUGCUCCUCUGACGUUAGCGGCGGACGGGUGAGUAACACGUGGAUAACCUACCUAUAAGACUGGGAUAACUUCGGGAAACCGGAGCUAAUACCGGAUAAUAUAUUGAGCCGCAUGGUUCAAUAGUGAAAGACGGUUUUGCUGUCACUUAUAGAUGGAUCCGCGCCGCAUUAGCUAGUUGGUAAGGUAACGGCUUACCAAGGCGACGAUGCGUAGCCGACCUGAGAGGGGGAUGGCCCAACCUGGAAUGAGACCCCGGCCCGAACCCCACGGGGGGGCGGCAGGGGGAAUUCUUCCCAAAGGGCGGAAGCCCUGAGGGGGCACCGCCGGGGGAGGAAGAAGGUCUUUGGAUUUUAAAACCUUUUUUUUUGGGAAAAAAAAAAUGGGAAAGUAAUUUGCCCGGUCUGGACGGUCCUAAACAAAAAACCACCGGCUAACUACGG